CCUACGGGUGGCUGCAGUGGGGAAUAUUGCACAAUGGGCGCAAGCCUGAUGCAGCCAUGCCGCGUGUGUGAAGAAGGCCUUCGGGUUGUAAAGCACUUUCAGCGGGGAGGAAGGCGGUGAGGUUAAUAACCUCAUCGAUUGACGUUACCCGCAGAAGAAGCACCGGCUAACUCCGUGCCAGCAGCCGCGGUAAUACGGAGGGUGCAAGCGUUAAUCGGAAUUACUGGGCGUAAAGCGCACGCCGGCGGUCUGUCAAGUCGGAUGUGAAAUCCCCGGGCUCAACCUGGGAACUGCAUUCGAAACUGGCAGGCUAGAGUCUUGUAGAGGGGGGUAGAAUUCCAGGUGUAGCGGUGAAAUGCGUAGAGAUCUGGAGGAAUACCGGUGGCGAAGGCGGCCCCCUGGACAAAGACUGACGCUCAGGUGCGAAAGCGUGGGGAGCAAACAGGAUUAGAACCCGGGUAGUC
rnacentral:rRNA from 1 species